rnacentral:snRNA from 1 species
AAAAGGGGCUUCUGUCAUUAAGUGGCACACAUAGGGCAUUUCUAUUGCUCUACGUGCGGAAUCAACAUCAAGAAAUUUAGGAAGCAUGAUUUUUGUUACCUGGGCUGCUAGUGAUUGUUGGUCCUGGCAAAAAA